CAGGACCUAGCCCUCCUGCUGGCUGCAGUGCCCUGGGUAUUUGCAAGGCUCAGAUCUGACAGAUUUCACCAGAUCCUUUGCCUUCAUGCAGCAGUGGUUUUGCAAUGCUCCCCAGUCACUGAUGCAGCUGGAGAGCAGGAGGAGAUCAAGGAGCCAAAGUGGUCCUUGAGUGAGUGUUUUUGAGGAAUUCUCCUCAAAGCUACUCUACUCACAGUCGCCGCCACUGGAGUGAGUCUGGGAAUGUUCCCUGAGCCCAGGCCUGGCAGGCUGAUCACCGAGGAGGUGUGCAUCCAAACAGAGGAUGAAGCUGGAAAGUCCUCGAGAAAGAGCAUUUGAUGUAUUUCCUCUCACAUUUCUGUUGGUGGCACAACAGGUAACAGCUAUAGAUG
rnacentral:lncRNA from 12 species